rnacentral:lncRNA from 1 species
UCACGGAACACUUCCAUAUCCAGCUUUCUAGGAGCGCUUCUAGGAGUACUUCCAGGAGUUUUUGACGAUUCAUGGUAUUAGUUCCAUUUUGACGCAGAUUCAAGCAAUAAUACUUCUGACAGUACUUGCAAGUGACAUAAGUUUUGCCAUCAGAAUGUUUCUCUCCUGGUGUGAAAUUGUUCCAGCACUUAGCACGACGUCUACUUGAACUACUACUACUGAUACCUC